GUUCAAUCCCUCUUCCAUGAGACCCAACUCCUCCCAUUAUGGACUCAGUCUAUAUCGAGAGAUAUAAAAGACUAAAUCCAUCUACUUUUGUAGGGGGAUCUUCAUUUGAAGAGGUCGAGUAAUGAUUAGCUGAGUCAAAGAAGGCAUUCACGAUGCAUGGGGUGACUCCUGAACAGAAAGUCAUCAUUGCUAUCUACAUGCUGGUGGGAGAGGCAUACUGCUGGUGGUACAUCAAGUAGGCCACCCUGCCCGUUCCAGUCACUUGGGAACAGUUCUUGAUAGCCUUUCAUGCAUAGU
rnacentral:lncRNA from 1 species